AAAGAUAUAGCAUAUUCUUCUGAAUAUACUUUGUUAACCCCCAUUUUUUUUUUUCCGAGUACCUUACCCGUUGCUUCCGCGAGGCUGUCCUCACGGCCCUCUGAAGAUUUAUCUUUGGGGAGUCCUUGCGGAAGGUAUACAAUAAACUCUUGCAUUACCAUGUCAUCUGUCUGAAUCUGUUUAAAACAAAUAUUA
rnacentral:misc_RNA from 1 species